AUGCUCAUUUAACUAUCUCCUCCAGAACCUCCUCCCACAGGAACUUGCUACAUGUGCCGGAAAUCUGACCACUGGGCCAAGGAAUGCCCGCGGCCCAGGAUUCCUCCUAAGCCGUGUCCCAUCUGUGUGGGACCCCACUGAAAAUCAGACUGUUCAACUCACCUGGCAGCCACUCCCAGAGCCCUUGAAACUCUGGCCCAAGGCUCUCUGACUGACUCCUUCCCAGAUCUUCUCGGCUUAGCAGCUGAAGACUGAUGCUUCCCGAUCGCCUCGGAAGCCCCCUAGACCAUCACGGAUGCCGAGCUUCGGGUAACUCUCACAGUGGAAGGUAAGCCCAUCCCCUUCUUAAUCAAUACGGAGGCUACCCACUCCAUAUUACCUUCUUUUCAAGGGCCUAUUUCCCUUGCCUCCAUAACUGUUGUAGGUAUUGACGGCCAGGCUUCUAAAUCUCUUAAAACUCCCC
rnacentral:lncRNA from 1 species